rnacentral:rRNA from 1 species
ACGUAGGGGACGAGCGUUGUCCGGAUUUACUGGGCGUAAAGGGCGCGUAGGCGGUCAUUUAAGUCAGCUGUGAAAUGGUUUGGCUUAACCGGAUCAUGCGGUUGAAACUGGAUGACUGGAGUGCUGGUGAGGUAAGUGGAAUUUGCAGUGUAGCGGUGAAAUGCGUAGAGAUGGGAAAGAACACCGAUGGCGAAGGCAGGUUACUAACCCGUUACUGACGCUGAGGCACGAAAGCGUGGGGAUCAAACAG